GCACUGGAUGAAAGGAGAGGGGGUCAGCACUCUCCUUGCGGGGCUGGAACGAGCCCUCGGGCCUGACAACACACAGUUAAGGCAUUGCCACCUACCUUGUGGCAUCGAAGCAUGGUUUUUA